UUGCGGGGGGAUCACAUCAUGUGUCCAUCUGCUACAUGGUGGGACUCCUCUGCAACC
rnacentral:pre_miRNA from 1 species